CCAUUCCUGCCGUGAUUGGCGGGAGCGAGAGGGCGAGGCCGGCGGGGAGCUUUGUUUCUGCGCUGGUUUCUCUGGAGAAAUUUGAAAAAGGCCAAGAUAAGGUGACUAAAAACUCAUUUCCGAUGUAUGGCAUUGUCUCUGGACGUCAUUCUCCAAAGUGCCUUCCAGGUCCCAAAUGACUUAUAUAAAGCUGCUAUACUUCCUAAACUGCGAAAUCAGCAAAACAAGAUCUUAGUGAAGAAAGAGGAGGAUCUGAUAGUGCAUUUUAAAAAAAUGAGAUGUCAAAAAUAGAGUUAUAAUAUUCUAAAACUUAGUUGGACCUGAUGGUGAACAUGUGAAUAUGUGUUUGUGUGUGUGUAUUAAAGUGGCACUUUGAAGUUCUUUACAAAGUAUUUAAAUUAUAGUACCACCAUAAAAAUUAAUAAUUAAUGCAAUGUUUUUCUCCCUGGAGUGCUGAAGAGAACAACCCUUUUUCAUAGAUAGAAAAAAAGUGUUUAAAGAUGACACAGAAAAAUAAUCCCGUUCACAAUAUGUUGUGGAAUAUUUCUUUACACUGUGUGAAGAUGUGUUACUGUGAUUGGUUUAAUAAAGAGCUGAAUGGU